rnacentral:misc_RNA from 1 species
GGCUUGAUCCUUGAUAAGGAAGGUUGCAAAUAUUGUUUCCUCAACCAUACAGCCACUUCAGAAUCAGCCUAUGCUAGUGAGUUUCCAAUUGGGAUUAUUGCAACUAAUUAGCUCAAUUAAGAGGAUGUAUUGCGUCCAAUUUUACAAGGUACAACUAAUCAGCCCAAUUGGGAUUAUCUGUGUUUUUUCUGAGGUCUUUCUUCUUGCAGAAUUUUGUAGAGGACAAAGUUGGUCCUGAUGAGAAACUUGCUUGGGCUUAAUAUUACAUGGGCAAAGGCUUUGC